GGUAGAAUCAUUGCCGGUAUUUGAUAACAAAUUGAUUUACCAGCACCGGUGGGCAAAACGACCAUUGUUGAUUUCCCGGCCAGCACCAUUUUGAUUGCCUCUAACUGCCCAUCUUGGAAAGUAUCGUAUCCAUAAGCUAACUUCAACAACUCCAUUGCCCUGCUUCUGAGGAUGUUGCGCUGUUUCUGUAACCAAACCGUCCUCAUCGCAGAAACUAGCCGCCUCGUCGCAAUCUUCAGUUUUUAAGUUCGUCUUAGUCCUUCGAUAGGGCCGG
rnacentral:misc_RNA from 1 species